rnacentral:rRNA from 1 species
AGCAGCCGCGGUAAUUCCAGCUCCAAUAGCGUAUAUUAAAGUUGUUGCAGUUAAAAAACUCGUAGUUGAAUUUCGGGGUUAGUAGGUUGGUUAUGCCACUGGUAUGUACUGGUCUCACUGAUUCCUCCUUCCUGAUGAGCCGUAAUGCCAUUAAUUUGGUGUUGCGAGGAAUCUGGACUGUUACUUUGAAAAAAUUAGAGUGUUUAAAGCAAGCUAACGCUUGAAUACAUUAGCAUGGAAUAAUGAAAUAGGACGUUCGAUCCUAUUUUGUUGGUUUCUAGGAUUGACGUAAUGAUUAAUAGGGAUAGUUGGGGGCAUUAGUAUUCAAUUGUCAGAGGUGAAAUUCUUGGAUUUAUUGAAGACUAACUACUGCGAAAGCAUUUGCCAAGGAUGUUUUCAUUAAUCAAGAACGAAAGUUAGGGGAUCGAAGACGAUCAGAUACCGUCGUAGUCUUAACCAUAAACUAUGCCGACUAGGGAUCGGAUGAUGUUAAUUUUUAAUGACUCAUUCGGCGCCUUAA